GAUCGAUGAAAAUUUUCUUUGUAGGUGUGCAUCCCAACGAUCAAGAGGAGAUUGGCCGCAACACAGCUCAAAUCGUAGAACGAGGUGACAAAACCCACCAAGCCAUUGCCGUCGUCACGCGGGGUCGUUCCCCGCUGCAUUUCGAAGCCGGAGAAGGACUCGAAGACGAGGAAGAAAGAAAAUAGAAGGGGCGAGAGAAUACGCGCAGGAGAAUACGAAACACACGUUGAUAGAUAGAUAGAUAGAUAGAUAGAUAGAUAGAUGGGCUCUCGACGCUCGCUUCAGACUCUUCCCUACUCCUCUCGCAUCCGCCUCUUCCUCUCUCGAUCCAUCUCCUCCACUCCCCACCUCCACAGUGUUGGAUGGUUCGACAAGAUCAAAGGCGUCAUCACCGGCAAAUCCACCACCGAUUCCAAGUCCUCCUCCUUCUCCCUCAUCGAGUUCGCCGAUCAGAUGCAGAAGGCGCGGAUGCUGGACUCCUUCAAGAAGUUCGAGGUCGGCCGCUGCAGCGGCGCCACCAUCUCCGAAGCGUUCAAGAAGCAAUCCGCCAUUCUCCGUUACCUUGGCUCCAUCGAUCCAACGGGAGAGAAUCUCCAAGCUAGCCACAAACAUGAUGCGACAAAGCAUUGCAAUUGCACGAUAGCCGACGUUGAGCAUGUACUGGCGAAAUAUACAUGGGCCAAAGAGGCACAGAAGAAGAUAAAAACGUUAAAGGAGGAAGGGAAGCCAUUGCCAAAGACCUUUAAUGAGGAGAAAAAGAGGUGGGUUAGGUGGCAUGGUCUUUUUUUUCUUUAAAUUUAGGUUUCUACAGGUGCAACUAAUGAAGAUUCUACAGUAUCUACUAAGAUUGAAUGAUUGAUCCUUGAGUGCAUCAAGGUUUUUGGAGGCUAUCGUGUACUUUUGGAGAAAGCUCUAUAUCACCAAUAAGAUUGUGGUGCAAAAAUUGAUGGGCUCAACACCAUUUGAUGUUGGCAAGUCUAAUUUGGCGAAGAGCGGGGAAAUGAGCAGAAAUGCUCUUUGCCCGUGCGGAUCUAAAAAGAGAUACAAAAGGUGCUGUGGAAUGACUUGAGUUGAAAACAGCUGGUGGAUCUGAAAAAUCUUCUCCAAGACUCCCAACUAUUGUAAGAUACACAACCUGUGGAAGUGGUGCUUUUAGCAACCACAUCAAAUUCGAACAUAAUUAGAAAUCAUGCUAUUAUUUUUAUGUUAUUGACUUUUUUAGGAGACAUUGCUGUGGGCAGUGAUUCUCUAAAUGUCAACGAUGCUCUUGAAAUCAAGGCAAUUUACUUCUGGCAGAUGGAGGAGGUUGAGACUGGGCAGUUACAGCACUGACCAUUAUAUCAUCUUCUGUAAAACUGAUACUGCAAUAAUGUUCAUUUAGUAAUUUUAGAAGCCAAGUAAAAUGCGGGAGACCAUUUUCUCUAGAUGCAGAGGUGCUUAAUUGAAGCCAUGGUGCACCAAUGGAGUGGUUAUACUUUGACUUGCGGGAUAAUUUGCAGAGUUGAAGCUUGAUUAGGUAAUAAAUAUGUAGCAGCCUCUCGUAAUCAACAUGGUCUUUCAUCUGUUUAAUUACCAUUUGUUUGUGCUCUUCCCCCAUUUCCUUUUUAUUUUUAAAUUCAUGUGAAGACAUAAACGAGAUUUAAAGAUUUGAUAUUUUUGACUGCAAAAA